rnacentral:rRNA from 1 species
CCUACGGGGUGCAGCAGUGGGGAAUAUUGCACAAUGGGCGCAAGCCUGAUGCAGCCAUGCCGCGUGUGUGAAGAAGGCCUUCGGGUUGUAAAGCACUUUCAGCGGGGAGGAAGGCGUUAAGGUUAAUAACCUUGUCGAUUGACGUUACCCGCAGAAGAAGCACCGGCUAACUCCGUGCCAGCAGCCGCGGUAAUACGGAGGGUGCAAGCGUUAAUCGGAAUUACUGGGCGUAAAGCGCACGCAGGCGGUCUGUCAAGUCGGAUGUGAAAUCCCCGGGCUCAACCUGGGAACUGCAUUCGAAACUGGAAGGCUAGAGUCUUGUAGAGGGGGGUAGAAUUCCAGGUGUAGCGGUGAAAUGCGUAGAGAUCUGGAGGAAUACCGGUGGCGAAGGCGGCCCCCUGGACAAAGACUGACGCUCAGGUGCGAAAGCGUGGGGAGCAAACAGGAUUAGAUACCCCAGUAGUC